rnacentral:tRNA from 1 species
GGAAUAGCUAAGUGGUAGAGUGCAUGUCUAGCAUGCAUGAGGUUCUGGGUCCAAUUCCCAGUACCUCCA